rnacentral:rRNA from 1 species
UGCUCUAUUAGCUAGUUGGCGGGAUAAAAGCCCACCAAGGCAAUGAUAGAUAGCUGGUCUUAGAGGAUGAACAGCCACAAUGGGAUUGAGAUACGGCCCAUAUUCCUACGGGAAGCAGCAGUAGGGAAUCUUCCACAAUGGACGAAAGUCUGAUGGAGCAAUACCAUGUGAACGAUGAAGGCCUUUUUGGUUGUAAAGUUCUUUUACGAGGGAUAAUUAUGAUAGUACUUCGUGAAUAAGUGACAGCAAACUAUGUGCCAGCAGCUGCGGUAAUACAUAGGUCGCGAGCAUUAUUCGGAUUUAUUGGGCGUAAAGCAAGCGCAGGCGGAUGUGUAAGUUUCUGUGUUAAAUGCAGCUACUCAAUACUUGUAUGCACCGAAUACUACAUGUCUAGAUUGUGGUAGGGAGUUUCGGAAUUAAGCAUGGAGCGGUGGAAUGUGUAAAUAUGCUUAAGAACACCAGAGGCGAAGGCGGAAACUUAGGCCAUAAAUGACGCUUAGGCUUGAAAGUGUGGGGAGCAAAUGGGAUUAGAUACCCCAGUAGUCCACACCGGUAAACGAUGGGUAUUAGAUAUUAGGGCUUUAGCUUUAGUGUUGUAGCUUACGCGUUAAAUACCCCGCCUGGGUAGUACAUAUGCAAAUAUGAAACUCAAAGGAAUUGACGGGGACCUGAACAAGUGGUGGAAGCAUGUUGCUUUAAUUCGAUAAUACACGAAAAACCUUACCAAGGUUUGACAUCCCUCGCAAAGCUAUAGAAAUAUAGUAGAGGUUAUCGAGGUGACAGGUGGUGCAUGGCUGUCGUCAGCUCGUGUCUUGAGAUGUUUGGUUAAGUCCCGCAACGAGCGCAACCCCACUCUUUAGUUACUUGUCUAAAGAGACUGCACAGUAAUGUAGAGGAAGGAUGGGAUCACGUCAAGUCAUCAUGCCCCUUAUGCCUUGGGCUGCAAACGUGCUACAAUGGCGAACACAAUGUGUUGCAAACCAGCGAUGGUAAGCUAAUCACCAAAUUUCGUCUCAGUUCGGAUAGGAGGCUGCAAUUCGCCUCCUUGAAGUUGGAAUCACUAG